rnacentral:rRNA from 1 species
CACGUAGUUAGCCGGCGCUUCUUUACCCACUACCCUCACCACAACCCAAAGCUGCGGCUUGACCAUGAGCGAAAGAGGUUUACAACCCGAAGGCCGUCAUCCCUCACGCGGCGUCGCUGCAUCAGGCUUUCGCCCAUUGUGCAAUAUUCCCCACUGCUGCCUCCCGUAGGAGUCUGGGCCGUAUCUCAGUCCCAAUGUGACCGGUCACCCUCUCAGGCCGGCUACCCGUCAAAGCCUUGGUAGGCCAUCACCCCACCAACAAGCUGAUAGGCCGCGAGCCCAUCCCCCACCAGAAAAAACCUUUCCACCAACCCCCAUGCGAAGGCCAGUGAAUAUCCAGUAUUAGCACCCGUUUCCGGGCGUUAUCCCAAAGAAGGGGCAGGUUACUCACGUGUUACUCACCCGUUCGCCACUCAUCCACCCAGCAAGCUGGGCUUCAGCGUUCGACUUGCAUGUGUUAAGCACGCCGCCAGCGUUCGUCCUGAGCCAGGAUCAAACUCU